CCGUACAUCAGUAAGCCAUAAUCAGAAAGAUUCAAAACAGACCGUCUGUGACGUCCGGGUAUUUUCUGACCUAAAAGAAGUAAAUAUUAACUGAAGAUAUCAACCAACGGUAGUUUGGAUGGAUUCUAUUGAGACCACGCACAUAAUGUGUUCGUGUUUUCUUCGAAGACUACAAAGGCAAGUUUCAAGCAUUAGGGUCACUGAAUGGAGCGCUUGAGCAGAAAUCUGUCUUGAGUAAUGAAGAAAAUAGAAUAGGAUGAGUCUGGAUUGCAAAAAAUAAAAUCUUUCAUAUAAAAUGAAUUAAAAGUUUCCUUCGUGAUACAUUCAUAAUAAAA